CUCUCUCUGUAUUUCGGGGUGUGUCUGUGUGUUUGGUGCCGUUCGCCGCAUGCUUCUACGCACGUACGCAUUAUUUGGCUGCGUUUGGGCCUGUUUUUCGGCUUGGAAAGGGCGUUUCAAACUGGCAAAAUCAAAACAAACACAAACGAACAGCUAGAGCCUACCGCUACACCACACGAAUUUGUCUCGGUGAGGGAAGAGGAAGCGAACUUCCCAAUACAUUGCUGCUGGCGAAUGCGCAGGUGCGUGUUGUUGCUGCUAGAGAGAGAAAUAUAUGAAGAGAGAGGGAGAUGAGAGCUUGGAUUGCAUAAAAAGCAUAAUAUAAACCCCCGAUGAAGCAACAUCAGCAACCGAGCGAACGGAAAUAGUGUAUGGGUGUAUGUGUGUGUGUGUCCGCAUUUUUAUGUCCAACAUAGUGGGCCGGCUAAAAAAAAAGAAGGAUGAUUCGCCCUAAAACGUAAAAGCAAAUUAGUUGAUAAAAAUACAUACUUCAGUGCACGUUUAAUGUUAGUUUACACUAAUCAGCGCUUGAUACACUCGAAGGCAAUUGAACAUAACAUUGUUUCUACUGCCGUCUAAUAAACAACAAAGUAGGUCUCCCGGUUGGGUGUGUAUGUGUGUGCUUGUGAGACAUGUUUUUGACACGAGGAGUCUAUUACUUAGAAAGGGAGGAGUAGUGGGGGGACGCAUACUUUGUUUUGAUUUUGCAACGUCUCGAACGCCCUCUGUUUUCUCACAGUCAUACCUGAAGCGUAUUACUAAUUUAGAAGACAUUCCGCACCGGCAGACGACUGUGUCUUGAGAAGUGCUUAUUCCUCCGUUUUCAAAAUAUCAUUUCCUACUUGUGCUCGAUGAACUGCUAUCGAUCUAAAAAGGUACACGAUUGUGUGCGUGUGAGUUACAACAUAUACGCCCGCUCCCUCCGAGAGCAGCUGCCGGGAGGAAAAUGGUGCAGCUGGGGCUGAGAGUUGUUUUUAAAAAAGAAAAAACGGGAUCACAAUCAGCAACAAAGUAGUGGCCGGUCCCGGUAGUGGUGUCAGAGCCAAGUUUUAAUUAAUCAACCCUUCCAACCCACACUGCAUCCCUUGACAAGCCGCCGCAACGGGACACACCUUAAACAAGGGUCUCCUCUCCUCGCGAGCGCGAUAGCGCAGAACCGGUGGCAGCAACAACAAUAGAUACAAAUCUCCUUGUUUGGCCAUAUUCCUUACUUACAGGGUUCUCAUAGUUGUGGGACAUUUUCUUUACUCUUUCUUAUGAGAAGUGUAUUUUAUAUGUUAGAAAUUGGAGUCUAUAGCACCCUUAUUGGACAAAUCUAAUUUGAAUUGCCAAGGAGCCUGUCCAAAAAGGGUGCUAUAGAGUCCAAUUACCAUCAUAUAAAGUGCACUUCCCGUAAGAAAGGGUCUAUAAUGUGUCCCACUGCUGUGAGAACUCCUGGAAAACCGUGUAAACGAGAGACAAUAAAUCGACGGGAAAUUAUGACAAUAUUGAUGGUAAAAACAAAAAUCAAACUAAAGCGACAGUCAAAUCGACGCAUAGGUGUAUGUUAAAUGUACCAAUUAGUGAUGCUGCACAUGUGUUUUUUAACAUAGACAAAUUUAAAUACCAUUUUUUCUUAUAAAUUAUAAAAAAAGUAAAAUGUUUGAAAAAAAACAGACCCAAACGGAAAUGAUUUUGUGUGACUCUAUUCCAAUACACGAAAGCAACAAUGUUAAGCUGCUUUUGAACAAUGUUCAACUAUAAGGAAUCGUUUAAAUGGCCAACUGAAAUUCUGAUGCUUUCCUGGGCUUCGUUCAAUCGUAACUAAACUUUAUAAUACUCGGGUUCAUUUCUUCGAUGAUCAUUACGAUGCAAUUGGAAUUGUUUGGAGCCUCAUUUCAAUUUGAUUUUGCAGUAAUUUAAUAAUCAAUUAUUAAUUUCCGAAAGUACUGGUAUAAAUUAUUGGAAAACACAUUCAAACUGUUUUUUUGUGUAAAUGAAGCCACAACCAAAAGUCUAAGCUUCAGCUACAGCUAACGGAUCGAGAGGCCGGUACCACUUGUUAAGUUACGAUGGAACGAAGUUCAGAUGGGCAUCAGUAUUACAGUUAGACGUCGAAUGUUUGCUACUAGUUGAACAAUGUUCAAAAGCAGCUUAACAAUGUUUGUUUUGGGCUCGAAACCGGUGUAAGUAUGAUAAAGAAAAGGGCAAUUUGAUUGUUUUGUAACCAUUUGCUAAAAGUGCGUACGUUCCAUCAGCCCAUUUUAUUCGUGAUCCUGCAGGGACAUAUAGCGCAGGGCUCUCGGGUGGUAUCGUUGAGGUUUACCGCAGCCAGUUAAGGCAUGGACUGGACCCGCGCCAACGUGACGGUUUUGUUUAGCGUCGGGUUGCCCCGGGUUGAAUGUAUUUUAGUGCAAUUGUACAACGCACUAUAAACGCUAUGUACCCCUAGUACCUAGUACUACAUUAAACAAAGAAAUUGAAAAUAAAAUAACAGCUGUUUGUAAUGAUUUUGUGAGAUUGUAAAUGUAUGCUGAAAAUAAACAUUCGCAUUUGUUAAGAGGAAA